GCCUUCUAGAAUACUUUCAAACCAUCCUAGUCUUGGGAUAUCCAGUCAAGCUACGCAAAGAGAUGCGUUUGUCCCUUGCAUACUCCCAAAUGUGGAAGUAGGAUCAGAAACUGGAUACAGUGAAUGAGCUUGUGUCGCCACGAAUCGAGCUGGUGGCGGACGCCGCGCCUCUCGAUGGAGCACUGCUGCCGCCCGCACGGGCUCGCCAUCUU
rnacentral:lncRNA from 1 species